AUUGAACGCUGGCGGCAUGCUUUACACAUGCAAGUCGAACGGUAACAGGCCUUCGGGUGCUGACGAGUGGCGAACGGGCGAGUAAUGCAUCGGAACGUACCCAGAGGUGGGGGAUAACGCAGCGAAAGCUGUGCGAAUACAGCAUGUGAUAUGAGGAUGAAAGCGGGGGACCGAGCAGCAAUGUUUGGCCUCGCGCCUUUGGAGCGGCCGAUGUCGGAUUAGCUAGUUGGUGGGGUAAAGGCCUACCAAGGCGACGAUCCGUAGCUGGUCUGAGAGGAGGACCGCCCACACUGGGCCUGGAACACGCCCCAGACUCCUACGGGAGGCAGCAGUGGGGAACUUUCGACAUGGGGCGCAAGCCUGCUCCAGCAAUGCCGCGGGCGGGAAGAAGGCCUUCGGUUGGUAAACCGCUUUUGGCAGGAACGAAACGGUGUCCGCUAAUACCGCGCUCUAAUGACGGUACCUGAAGAGUAAGCACCGGCUAACUACGUG
rnacentral:rRNA from 1 species